CACCCCUGCGAUCUCCACUGCCCUGCGGUCACCGCCGGCCUGCACCCCAGGCCCCGCUCACUUCCUGGAACCCUCGCGCUGACCUCGGAGCCCCCCACUCGCCGCCUCAGGUGUCUCCCUUUUCGGAUUGUGCCCCUGCACGUGGAUCCCCGCUCCGUGCCCCGGGCACCCCUCGCCCUCCUCUCCUGAUUCCCGCCCCUGCUCUCCCCACUGCCCUAGGUCCUCCAUCUGGCAGUCCUUCUUCCCGCUCUCAGUCAACGGACCACCAACCUCGAGUUGGGAUCCCGUGCACCCUGUCCUCCGGAGGGCCACCCUUCUCGCCCCAUAACUCAAUUCUGUACGUUCAGACGCAUCCGGACAGCCCAAGACACUCCGUGUUGCCUGACACAGCAGGAGGGGGCCACACAGUUUUUACAUGACAUGUGUGACAGCGUCUCUUCCCAGUGAAGACUUUGCAGCCGUGUAACCCAAAAGGGCCCGAAAGGAGAUCUGGGAAGGACACACACACGUCUAUACCCCUGGAAUCCCGUGGACCAGGCAGAAAGGGAGAACCUUCCUCUGGUGUAGUCUGACACUUCAGAAAUGACUGCAGCCGGGGAGAAAAACAGGCUGCCUAAAAGAACGCAGAAUAUGAUCCCAUUUUUUGUUUAAAAGAAAAAAAAAGUACAUACACACACCUGGAAAAAGGCUUCACACUUUUUCAAAGAUAAAGAAGUCUCUAAAUAGU